rnacentral:rRNA from 1 species
CAAAUAAGGGCGCCUGGGGGAUGCCUAGGCUUCUGGUGGCGAUGAAGGACGUGGCAAGCGACGAAACGGUACGGGGACCCGCUGGCAGGGGCUGAUCCGUACGUGUCCGAAUGGGGCAACCCACUAGCUUGAAGAGCUAGUACCCUGCGGGGGGCAAACGCGGUGAACUGAAACAUCUAAGUAGCCGCAGGAAAAGAA